rnacentral:sRNA from 1 species
AAGUUGCGUUACAUGAGCCGAGAUGACUUCAGGGUCUUGAUCGCGGUUGAAAUGGGCAUGAAGAACCAUGAAAUUGUUCCCGGCAGUUUGAUUGCUUCUAUAGCCAGCCUUAAACAUGGUGGCUGCAAUAAAGUUUUAAGAGAAUUAGUGAAACAUAAACUCAUAGCUUGGGAGCGUACCAAAACUGUCCAGGGCUAUCGGUUGACAAAUGCAGGAUAUGAUUACCUAGCUUUGAAAACACUUUCUUCUAGGCAAGUAGUUGAGUCUGUUGGAAACCAGAUGGGUGUUGGCAAAGAAUCAGAUAUUUACAUUGUUGCAAAUGAAGAAGGACAACAAUUUGCAUUAAAGCUUCACAGACUAGGAAGAACCUCGUUUCGAAAUUUGAAAAACAAACGCGAUUAUCAUAAACAUAGGCACAAUGUGUCUUGGCUUUACUUAUCUCGUCUCUCUGCCAUGAAGGAAUUUGCCUAUAUGAAGGUAUUUAUUUUAUUUUGUAGUCAUGCAUUUUUUAGCCAAAUAAUACAUGUGUCUCAAAGGCCUUAAUGACAAGUGUGAUUCUGUUGUCCCCACAUCUCUCUAACCUUAGACU